CGCCCGCCGCGCGCGGCGGGCGGGGCGGGGGCACGGGGGGCCUACGGGAGGCAGCAGUGGGGAAUAUUGGACAAUGGGCGAAAGCCUGAUCCAGCCAUGCCGCGUGUGUGAAGAAGGUCUUCGGAUUGUAAAGCACUUUAAGUUGGGAGGAAGGGUUUCUGGCUAAUAUCCAGGAAUUUUGACGUUACCGACAGAAUAAGCACCGGCUAACUUCGUGCCAGCAGCCGCGGUAAU
rnacentral:rRNA from 1 species